AUUGAACGCUGGCGGCAGGCCUAACACAUGCAAGUCGAACGACGGGCGGACGGGUGAGUAAUGUCUGGGAAACUGCCUGAUGGAGGGGGAUAACUACUGGAAACGGUAGCUAAUACCGCAUACCAUCAGAUGUGCCCAGAUGGAGUUAGCUUGUUGGUGGGGUAACGGCUCACCAAGGCGACGAUCCCUCGCUGGUCUGAGAGGAUGACCAGUCACACUGGACCGGGAACACGGCCCAGACUCACACGGGAGGCAGCAGUGCGUAAUAUUGCACAAUGGGCGCAAGCCUGAUGCAGCCAUGCCGAGUGUCUGAAGAAGGCCUUCGGGUUGUAAAGUACUUUCAGCGGGGAGGCGUUACCCGCAGAAGAAGCACCGGCUAACUCCGUGCCCGCAGCCGCGGUAAUUC
rnacentral:rRNA from 1 species